UUUUAUGAUAAAGAAGACACCAAGGGAAUUCAUAAAUUUCGUAAAGAAAGUGAUCGGUGAAGCGGUCGAGCGAGCCACCUGCUACUAACUACUACUACUACUACUACUACUUACCACUACUACUACUACUUACUACUCACCAAGCUACUCAUUUCGAGCUGGAAAAGACAAGGGCGACGAUAUAACGCUGUUAACAACGUCCGAACGAGCUUACUUCUGCUACUCGGCUGAUACACGCGAUCGCGUGUAUUAUUAAUGCACUUACAACUGGUUCCACUUGAAACGAUUUAUCUAUCACUAAACAAAGAUGGAAGUGAAUGAAAGCAGGAUCGAUUCGAACGUCAAUCGAUAUACUUGAUCGAUCUAAUGCGUCUCAUGGAAUUUGAUGAAAUAAGCAACGUGGCAGAGAAACGAGCAAAGAGAACGGAGAUAGAUAGAGAAAGAGAAAAGAAACCAGCAAAGUCUCGGGACUCCUGGAGUGUGGGAAUCUUCGAGACUUUCUUCUCGUUCUUCUUUCGGUUCUUUUAAACGUCGUGUGCACUGAAUCCAAAAUAAACGCAGUCACCUCGUGGCCAACAUGCAUUCUCGCAGUACAAACCCGAGAGAAACAGAGUUCUGUAGUAAAUUCUCAAAACACAGACGCGAGAAAAGAGAGAGAGAGAGAGAGAAAGAGAAAA